rnacentral:rRNA from 1 species
ACUCCUACGGGAGGCAGCAGUAGGGAAUCUUCCCCAAUGGGCGCAAGCCUGAUGGAGCAACACCGCGUGAGUGAAGAAGGGUUUCGGCUCGUAAAGCUCUGUUGUUAAAGAAGAACACGUAUGAGAGUAACUGUUCAUACGUUGACGGUAUUUAACCAGAAAGUCACGGCUAACUACGUGCCAGCAGCCGCGGUAAUACGUAGGUGGCAAGCGUUAUCCGGAUUUAUUGGGGCGUAAAGAGAGUGCAGGCGGUUUUCUAAGUCUGAUGUGAAAGCCUUCGGCUUAACCGGAGAAGUGCAUCGGAAACUGGAUAACUUGAGUGCAGAAGAGGGUAGUGGAACUCCAUGUGUAGCGGUGGAAUGCGUAGAUAUAUGGAAGAACACCAGUGGCGAAGGCGG